UACGAAGGGUGCAAACGUUGCUCGGAAUUAUUGGGCGAAAGCGCACGUAGGCGGCUCUGCAAGUCGGAUGUGAAAUCCCUCGGCUCAACCAAGGAAGUGCAUCCGAAACUGCAAAGCUUGAGUACCAAAGAGGAUCGCGGAAUUCCCGGUGUAGAGGUGAAAUUCGUAGAUAUUGGGAAGAACACCGGUGGCGAAGGCGGCGAGCUGGUCCAUUACUGACGCUGAGGCGCGACAGCGUGGGGAGCAAACAGG
rnacentral:rRNA from 1 species